UUGCCUACGGGGGGCAGCAGUAGGGAAUUUUCGGCAAUGGGGGGAACCCUGACCGAGCAACGCCGCGUGAACGAAGAAGUAUUUCGGUAUGUAAAGUUCUUUUAUUGGAGAAGAAAGAGAAAUUUGACGGUAACCAAUGAAUAAGCUCAGGCUAACUACGUGCCAGCAGCCGCGGUAAUACGUAGGGAGCGAGCGAUAUCCGGAAUUAUUUGGCGUAAAGGGGGCGUAGAUGGUUGAUAU
rnacentral:rRNA from 1 species